rnacentral:rRNA from 1 species
UAUCCUACGGGAGGCAGCAGUGGGGGAUAUUGCACAAUGGGGGGAACCCUGAUGCAGCGACGCCGCGUGGGUGAAGAAGCGCCUCGGCGCGUAAAGCCCUGUCAGCAGGGAAGAAAAUGACGGUACCUGAAGAAGAAGCCCCGGCUAACUACGUGCCAGCAGCCGCGGUAAUACGUAGGGGGCGAGCGUUAUCCGGAUUUACUGGGUGUAAAGGGAGCGUAGACGGCUGGUCAAGUCUGAAGUGAAAGCCCGGGGCUUAACCCCGGAACGGCUUUGGAAACUGAGCAGCUAGAGUGCUGGGAGGG